UAUUGAUGUAUCAUUGUUUCAAAGUAUCAAAAAUGCGGUGGCAACCAAAAUAACAAUCUCAAAGAUUAAUUGAACUAAGUGAUGGAAGUUCUCUCUUAUCGGGUGGUAUCCCAGGGGCAUAAGCCUAUCAUGGGUCGAUCCCUAUUUAUGUGUUUAUGGGUGGUAUCCCAGGGGCAUAAGCCUAUCAUGGGUCGAUCCCAG
rnacentral:lncRNA from 1 species